rnacentral:misc_RNA from 1 species
GAUCUUCAGUAGUAGGAUUCCACCCCAGAUCAAGAAGGAUAGCAUGGCAAGCAGCAACCAUAUUCAAGCCAAGAUUUCCUGCCUUUAGCGACAUUACCAUUACAGUUACCUGCAAAAAAUUUUCAAUAAUUUUGAUGCUCAAUGCAUUCGCAGAUUAAGGCAGUAUGAAUAUCCAUCAUGCACAAUUUCAUUGAUUUGACAUAUUGCAGAAUUCGCCUGCAUAUUAUGAAGAAUACCUAACAAGGUACCCCUUCAAGCUUCAAAUAGACUUUUCAAUAACUAACUCCAUCAUAAAGAAAAGUAAAAAAAAACAUUCCAACUUCCAAGGCAUUGAAAAAUGUAAGAACCACACCACAGGAUCAGUGGUGAAAUCAUUAACAGCCCUGUCUCUAGCAGCCAAAGUCAUUGUGCCAUCAAGCCUCCUGUACUGUAUACAAUGCUGGUUCAAUGAAAUCUCAACCAAGUCCAACAUAAUAGUCCACUAUGAGAAAACAAUUGAUUUUAUUUGUCCUUCAGUUGACGAGCUUGAAUAAGCUGUUGAAGCUCCAUUGCAUCCUGUGGCAUGAUUUAGCUCUGGCGUUGGGCUCUUUACCUGACAAUGGGAUUGCAGAAUCUCCAGAACAGCUCUAAUUUUUUAUGAGAUAUACUCAUGCUGUAGAACCAUCGAUUUAUUAUCAAAUUCAGGAUGCUUAGGACCAACAUCACGAUUAUCAGACACACAACUUUUAAGAGUAGCUUCAGAGAAAACAACAUCAGAACCGAGUUGUUCUUUACAGCCACGAGAAGGGCACGUAUUUUCAUCGCCUGUUAAGUAGUCUGACACACAUUGAUAGCAGAAAACAUGGCCGCAAAUGGUAACAACAGGGUCCUCAGGAGGAUCAUUGCAUGCGCGGCAGAUUGCAGAGGAAGUAGCCAAGCAUUUCAUUAGAUCAAUCACCAUAUCACUAGGAAGUCUCUUUGCCAUUUCUGCAGAAACUUUUCCAAACAAAUCAGAAUUAAAACUUUUGACAAGAAGAGGGCGGUCACAAGCCUGACGAAGUCGGAAAAGCAUCAAAAGAAUGUUUGCAUAGUUUUGGUUUACUGUGCCAGAAGCAGCACAAGCCUGCAAGAUACAAAUCUACAACUUUAUGUUGCAUAAGAAGUUAGCAUAGGGAAUAUUCAGUAGAGCUGAAUUCAACCUCACAAGACCACCAAAAGAACCUUAUUCUCAGCUGAAACUGAAACUGGAAGGAUGGCAGUGUUUCAAUACUUCAAAGAAUGAAUAUCAGUAUCAUAGAGCAAUGCAUGUCAGCUAGUAUCAGAAAAUGGUUCUUUGAAGUAGGCCUUUUUUUUUGAAGAAAAUAACUUAGUUAUGGAAAAUAUUCCCUGAUCAACAUUUUCUGAGAAAAUGAAUUGUUUUCCGCUAAUUUGGUUGUGACACUGGAAACUAUUUUCUGUUGUUUGAAGUGCAACAAAACAUGAACUAUUAGUUUCAGAGCCAUCACCAGCAUUUCUAGUGCCCAUUGAUGCUUACCUUUCCACAAAAGACGAGAUGAAAUAGCACAAAUUGUGCUUAUUUUCAACAACAUGCUGCUGGGACUGAGGAGACCAAACCACUCAGCUAAUGCUGGCCAUUCAAAAUUCUCCACAAGUACAAAUUUACAAAGAAUGAAAAGCACCUUGAAUUUAGAACGAGAAUCAGCUUCUAGCUGGGUAUAGAAAGCCCGCUCCUCCAUUGAGAAAUCUACCUUUGUCAAGCAUAUUGAUUUUGGGGGGUAACUUAAUUAUGGGCUCCCCAUCAAUUAAUGUUCCUAAAUCACACAAACUAAUGAUGAUCAACACCAAAAAGUAACUAAGACACAAUCAAGUAUUAGAAUUCCAUUUGUAAAGCCAUAGUCAAAUUCAUCAAUCAUCAGGACAUGUUUAAAGAGAAUUAACUAAAGGUGGGAAAGUUCAUCCACUAAUAUUUAGAAUCCCUUUGGAGAAACUCUAUUUACAAAUAUCCAAACUUACUUUGUAUCAACUAAACCUAUAAAGAGAUGUUAAAUCUGAAUACCUAUGAAUUGAAAUUCUGAAAAGUUUAAUUUUUGGAGAGGUUGGUUAUACACAAUUCACAAAGCAAAACCUCAUAAAUUUUAAUCUACACAUAGGCUUUCUUCACUUACAUAAUGCUUUCAUAGAAUCUCUUCAACACAAUUCAAAGUUUGGCACUAUAACCAUUCCAAUGAUUAAAUACAAAAAAGAGGGGUCAAGAAAACAUCCAAAACUGAGUCAAACACCAAGGAUCUAACAUGUAACUUUUAAGCUGAUAUAAAAAAUAUAUACAUGCACCACCCACCACCCAUGAACCUUUUCCUCAAUUCUCUCAUCUAAAUGUCAUAUAGAGAUCCCAGACUGAUAGAAUACUCCCAAGACUGGAAGAGACACCUUCCAUUACAAAAAGUAGAUGGAAGCAAAAAGUUAUUUAAUGUCUUUCCUAUCCUGAAGGCACUGUUUUUCAAAUGCCCAUUGCUGGAUGACAAUGGAUUAAAAAAGGGAGAUGCCAACAAUUGUAAAGUAAAAUAUUAAAAGAAAAAUGGAUACAACAAGAAAUUCAGGAAAAUCUACAAUGAACAAGUCAUGGUUGUAAUUAAAAAAGAGUGUUCUACCUACCUAUGUCUAAAAACCUAGAUGAUUAAAGGUCCAAAAGCAUAAACAAUUUCCAUGCAAAAAUGUGACAUCAGAACUCUUAGAUGCAACUAGGAGAAACACCUAAACAUAAAAUUAGAAUUCCUAAGAGUACCCAAGAGAAAAUGAGACUUUUGCUUUCAUUUCAAGGUAGUGCACUUCUAUUUUCUGCACAUAUAUCCUAACACAAAAUGGCUCACCAUUGGGAUGCAACAUCUAUGCAGAAGAAGAACUUGCAACAGAAAGUGCAAUAAGACUCCAGGAAGGAUAUUAAAAGAAAUAAUCUAUUUGGAAUCCAUAGAAUGGCUAAAAUCAUUUGAUGGCAUGUUCAACAUUUAAUACAUGCACAAAAAUGAUUGAAACCCAACAAACCACUGAAACAAAGGGAGAGAAAGCCAGCACCUUUUUUACGACACAGCAUUAUUGCUCUAAGAACUACUUGUAUUUUCUUGUAACCAUGGAGUGAAUUUCUAGAUAUUGGAACCAUUAUAGUGGUAUAAAAAGAUUUGUAGAUAGAAUAAGGAUCAUAUCUGAGAAAUCUGAAAUAGCUAUACAAAUCAUCAAUUGCAUUUUGAAUAGGUGUUCCAGAUAAGCACCACCUUCUUUUGGUACGAAGACUGCAGCAGGCUCUAGCAACUUGAGUACGAUGAUUUUUAAUUGUUUGGCCUUCAUCUAGUAUCACCCUAAACCAAGCAACGCUAGCAAGUGGACCACAAUCAUAAUCAACAGAGGAACUAUCUAUUCCCUUCCUACCCUUCUUUCUUUUCUUACUAACAUUAGUCGUCUUCUUCUUCUUCUUAUUAAUUGAAAAUUCAGAAGAUAAUCCAUACUUCUCCCCAUCCUUUUCAUCAACCUCAUCCUCAUCAACUAGAGGUUGCUUUGGAACUUCGUUAGUCACAAUAGAAUAUGUUGUCAGAAUGACAUCAUACUUAGCCAAUUCAACAGGAUCCUUUGUCCGACUACCUCCAUGGUAAACAAGAAAAGUAAGCUUAGCUUCAUCUGCAACUUUAUCAUCCAAUUCCCUUGCCCAUUGCCGAAGAAUACUCGCUGGACACACAACCAGAGUACCAGCAGCUGGUCUCUUUCUCUUAAAUGGCCGGGUAGAAGUACUUACUUCUGGAAUUGAUUUGAUAUCAUCAGAUUCCCCAGUCUGCUUGACUUCAACCAAACCAGGACGGCUAUUCUCAUCAUCGUCAUCUAAAUUCAAUGCUUCAGGUUUGUGAUUAGAUUGAUCUUCUGAUUUUGAUUUUGACUCCAAAGACUUUUGCAUUUGUAUGAGGGCAAUCAUUGAGACAGUUUUACCAAGACCCUGAUCAUCAGCUAGAAUUCCACCUAGACAAUGCAAGCUUCUUGUUUCCUUCUGAAGCAUCCAAGCCAAUGCAAUUUUCUGAUGUCUUAGAAGAGGCACAGACAACAGACCAUCAGGUGGAGUAGCUUCAGUUUUUGGCUGAUUGAGAUCCUCCAGUGCAGCUUGAUAAAUCAGUCUCUCAUCAUUCCCUGUAACACUUUCUUCGCCAACCAUGGGACGAUAAGCAGGGUCACUUGAACCAAACUGACCCGAGGAAAUGGACUUUCCAUGCAUCAAGGAUGGAGGCAGUGUCCUACUUCCAUUGUUUUCAUACAUCACAACAUCCUCAUAAUUGCCCCUUCCAUAAUGGUCCCUCAUAUA